rnacentral:rRNA from 1 species
GACAGAGGGUGCAAACGUUGCUCGGAAUCACUGGGCGUAAAGGGCGUGUAGGCGGGAAGGAAAGUCAGAUGUGAAAUCCCUGGGCUCAACCCAGGAACUGCAUUUGAAACUCCCUUUCUUGAGUGUCGGAGAGGAAAGCGGAAUUCCUGGUGUAGAGGUGAAAUUCGUAGAUAUCAGGAGGAACACCGGUGGCGAAGGCGACAUCCUGGACCGACACUGACGCUGAGGAGCGAAAGCCAGGGGAGCAAACGGG